CUGACCGUCGUCUUGGACCGCCUGGUGGCGGUCGUUGAGGGGGGGGUACUGACAUGGUGCCUCUGCCAGCUGCUCUCCCCCUCCCCUGCCUGCUCUGCUCCGGACGCGACCAGCUGUCUCCACUUACCCUCAUCACCACCAUGGCCUCUUAAGGAGUUCCUGGACCUCCACUCGACGCCAGUUCGUUUUCCUCCCACGGAAUAAUCUACUCUGGAUCUCACCUGGUCGCUGUCCCCUGGUUCCACGCUGUCCCUCGUCUGGAAUCCUGCUGCUGCUCUCCUCCAGCCAGCUGCUGCGCCCCUGUUGGAAAGAAGCCUAAGACUCACCUUUCUAUAUAAAGACUUCUUAACUCAC